UACGUAGGGGGCUAGCGUUGUCCGGAAUCAUUGGGCGUAAAGCGCGUGUAGGCGGUUCGGUAAGUCCGCUGUGAAAGUCGGGGGCUCAACCCUCGAAUGCCGGUGGAUACUGUCGGACUAGAGUACGGAAGAGGCGAGUGGAAUUCCUGGUGUAGCGGUGAAAUGCGCAGAUAUCAGGAGGAACACCGAUUGCGAAGGCAGCUCGCUGGGACGUUACUGACGCUGAGACGCGAAAGCGUGGGGAGCAAACAGG
rnacentral:rRNA from 1 species